rnacentral:rRNA from 1 species
UACGGGGGGGGCAAGCGUUGUUCGGAAUUACUGGGCGUAAAGGGCUCGUAGGCGGCCGAUCAAGUCAGACGUGAAAUCCCUCGGCUUAACCGGGGAACUGCGUCUGAUACUGUUUGGCUUGAAUCCGGGAGAGGGAUGCGGAAUUCCAGGUGUAGCGGUGAAAUGCGUAGAUAUCUGGAGGAACACCGGUGGCGAAGGCGGCAUCCUGGACCGGUAUUGACGCUGAGGAGCGAAAGCCAGGGGAGCAAAC